rfam:Triticum aestivum genome assembly, contig: Triticum_aestivum_CS42_TGACv1_scaffold_001678_1AL
UACGUACUCCCUCCGUCCGAAAAAGAUUGUCCUUCAAAUGGAUGUAUCUAACAUCAAGUUAUUGCUAGAUACAUCCAUUUGAGAGACAAACUUGUGACAAGUUUUUUUAAACGAAGGGAGUACCAA